rnacentral:lncRNA from 1 species
UUGCACCAGAGGCAACACAUGAUAUGACAGUGUGUAAGCCCAAAACAAAAAGAAGUGUAAGGACUGGUGCAAAGUGCACACUGUACAGAGCAUAUGCUGGUGAGUUUGAAUGAGUUUUACUCUCCUCUUUAUUCUCUUCUAUUCUCAUCUUCUGUCCUGUCUUUGUCUACUCUCAUCCUCUUUCCUCUCAUUUACUCUUUCUCUAUUUUUGUCAGGGCCUCUUCCAGAUCCUCAUAUGAUGGCCAGUGGAGAAAAACUCAAAGACAUUCAUCCACAACCAGGGUUAUGCAAACUGCUGCAUGGGCUUGAGAACCUUAAUUUGGUCGACUCUAAAUUUGGUCCUGUGCCAUUUGGCUCUGUCCUUUCUUACCAGUGCCCUCCUGAAAUAAGUAAAGACUGUAUUAGACACCCUGAUGCCCCUGCGUUUCCGCAGUUACCUGUUGAUGGCUACAAUUUUAAAUUCCCAGCAAAUUAUGAGCUCAGUUACAAGCAACAAUGCCACCUGGAGAGCCUGAAGGUAACACGGGAGAUCUCAGCUGCUAUUGAAGCUGAAACCAGGCAGCAGUCAGAAUGCCAGUUAUGGACCCUGGUACGCAAACCCCGACUCACAGCCAGCCGAUUCCGUGAGAUAUGCCAUGUUUGUGGGGAGUCUUCUGCCAAAGCCUUGGCUUCUCGCAUCCUGAGGGGAACUCCUCAGACUGCUGCCAUGAAACGAGGUUUGGACCUGGAAUCUGAGAUUCUGCGGCAGUAUGCAGAUUUUUGUGAUGUUUCAGUGACACCUUCUGGAGUAAUAAUCCACCCAGACGCACCUCACCUUGGGGCUAGCCCUGAUGCCAAAGUCUUCAACCCUUGUGAAGUACCACCAUUUGGCCUGGCAGAGGUCAAGAUCUGCAACGUGGAAAGUGUUGCACAAGUGAAACACCUGACCACAGUUAAAGGCAAAGCCUUCUUACGGAAGACUCACAAAUACUAUUAUCAGGUGCAAGGACAACUGGCCAUAAGUGGCCUUCAGUGGUGUGAUUUCAUUACAGAUACGCACACUGACUUCACAGUUGAACGCAUCUUUAGGGAUGAGGAGAUUAUCCAGUCAAUGCGCCAAAAGCUGGAUGACUUCUAUUUUAACAUCUACAUGGAUGUCUUCUUACGUAGUAAAGCUUAAAAAUGACUUGAGAGUAGUGUAGUAGAGCUAGUAGAUGUAGAGCUACAUUUGAAAGGUCAGUAGGUAAUCACCUAUGAAGCUGAUACAACAGUUCCUCCUACACCAAAUGUGUAAAAAUGUUUUUUGAUUGGUUUCAAAAUGUUUGUUGCAAUGUUUGAAUGUUUUCAGAAUUGAACUGAU